rnacentral:lncRNA from 1 species
GUAAAUCUAAUGAUCAAAUUAUCAUAAAAACAUGUGUACAUACAUAUGAAUAUAUUCCUCCAGCAAGUAGUGCUUUAUUGCUGUUGGAUGCAGUGAUGCAACAUGAGUCCACAUUUUUUAGAUGGCGUUGUUUCAUGCUCUUGAGGAAUAUUUUCACAGAUUUUAUUAAUAGUUUAUGGGAAGGCCUUUAGCUUUUUGCAUGACAUGCUGAAAUGAAAAGAGACCAUCAACAACCCUCAUAAUUCCUCUCCGACAUUAAUUGCAUACUAAAUGUAGCCCAGUCCUAGAUCUGCAAAUCACUGUCUGCAUCUGAGCGGAUGAUGAAAUAGCCAUUCAAUCUGAAAAUGAGGCCUAGCUAAUUAUGCAUGUGUUUGAGAAAUUAAAAGUACCAAAGGAUCGACGGCCGGCACGGCAUCGAUUCUGAUUGAGUGUUUCUUUUUUUUUUUCUUUUCCUCUCAGGCAAAAAGCAGAAGUCACGCUGAAAGGAGUUUUUACAGACGCGGAUGAAAGGAUGGGGGGAAAAAUAAAAAAAAAGAAUGUGAGGUUGCAUCGUAAACAACACUUACUCAAGGCGCCGCACAUGGCUCAUGUGAGAAACGCUGUGGGGAGGAAAAAAAAAGGCUCAUCAUCAUCACAGAUGGCCACUCAAUCCAAGGCAAAUGUCAAAAGGACUCGCAAGAGCACAUCACUGAGACGCCACGGAUUCACUGACGCUUGGAUGUGCACUAGGAAGACGGCAACGGCUCUGUUUCAAGUGGAGGAGGCAACAAUGAAGGAUACGACCAACGCGAUAUGGAGCUACAGCACCAGGCCAUGAAACGUGCUGUAGGUGGAUUCACACUUGAAGCCCGGUCGUCCUCCUCCCGCAGCUUGUUCCCUUUUAACAAACGUUUAAAACGUCGCCCGCCGCCCUAAUCUGGCCGCGAGUGGAAGGAUCACCUUGCCCGACCUUUCCUUUGAACUCCGGAGGGUUAGCGAAGGGCAGAGCCGGUGGUCCGAUUAAAGGAGACGCUGAUGGAGCGGCUCCUUGAGAACACGGGCCGCGGGGCGGCGACACCCGGGGCCCCUGCACCGGGUCGCUCCGUGGGGGGCCUCGAGUCGAGUGUGAGUAAUUACAUGUGAGUCGCUGCUGCCCUGCAAAAUCCAAGAAUCCCCUUCAUAAUGAUCUCUGGAGGAAGUGGGACUCAUGUACAGUACUUAGACACACACACGCUCAAACACUCAUAUUGUGCUAAUUAUGGACAUAAGGGAUCGAUGGCCGUCUGCUGGUGUCAUACUUUACCAAACAGGAAGAGCUUCUGUGACUUUAAAGGAAGUGAUGAUGUCAUUAAUCCUCUGUAAUCUUGACCAACACGCUCGGCUGUCUGACAGGAUGUGACUUAAGCCUGUUCUCAAAUUGGGGCGAUCAGAUUCUUUUUUCCAAGCGAGCGAAGUCUCUAACAUUUAAACAACCGGGUGGAGAAAUAUGUUUGAAUCCACAAUGAAAUUCCUGGCGGGUUUUAUAAUUGAUACUCCAUGAUGACCUUUAACGAGACGCUUUGGAGGAGAUGAGCGCAAAUCAGCACUUUUACUCGGAUUACAAGCGGCGCUGCGAAAAAAAAAAAAAAAAGCGGUUCCUUCUCCAAUCGAGUGGAAAGCAGUAUUGACCCAUGUGCAUUGUCUCGUUAAUUUUGCCAGAGGUGUGGAUUCCGUGUGAUCAAUAUCUAGCGACUGCAUCUUUAUUCUUCUGUGUAACCUAUUACUGUUGGCGAAACGUGAGAGCCCGCACCGCAGUCAGAGCCUGGGACGGGGCGAGGCCAGUCGAUGGCAUGGAUGAUAUGUGCAGUGGGAAACAAUGUCCAGUUAAAGGUAUUAGCUGUAUUUAUGGGUCUCCAUCAGUGGUCACCACAGCCUUUGCCCAGUUCCUACUGUACCUGCUGCUAUUAUGAAGGGAAUUAUCUCCAAAUGCUGUGAUAAUAGAGGAUUUAUACACAUUGAGGAGAAAGCUGUGGUUCACGUCUUCAUUUCACCCUCUACAUGAAUCCUUCAUUCUUUUCCUGUCUGUUCUGCUCCGCCUCCCUUUAAGACACACUCGCUGUGCUGGAAUUCCAAGUGAAACACACUCCAACACCUACAGUACUAAUCGCACAUAAUAGUGUAAACGAUUCGUUGGACGGCGGAGCCUCGCGCAGAAUCAAAGGGGUUUGUCUGCCGGAGACGUUGAACAGACACUAAAGCAGCGCCGUGUGAGGAAAAGCGGGCGUUUUUACGCCGACUAAACGUUCCCAUGUAGCUUCUCUCCGGCUCGGCGCCGACGACACGCGGCCGUGUUGUCAUAUCAGCAGUUCGCUGGCUGUUAGCGCAUCAGGCCGUCCUCUUCUGCCAGGGCCCCGCCGCGGUUUACAAGGAAAUGGACCGACUAUAAAUCACCGCUAAAUCACGCGGCACAACUAAGAUUACGCCUCCAAUAAUGACAUCGCUAUAAAUCUUCGGCGCCGCUGACUGGACGAGACAAAAAAAACGCAAGUUUAUUCUGGGGUUUUGCAAUAAAAAUCUCCAAUUCAGAUUAGCCUGACA